CGGCGCGCUGUCUGACGUUAUAAUAAAUCCGCUGUUUCGCGGCUCUCUAACGAGCGUUCUUGUCGGACGGUUGUCGAUUAUAUCAAUCGUUCCGAGCCAAAAGUCUAUACUGGACGGUUUCCUUCCGCGAAACUCCGCGCUUCGCGCCAUUAAGCCCCGAGACCGUUGCCAAUUCCCGAGAUUCCGUACGAACGUUCGUUACUUGACGCUUUUAAAACACCGGAAAAACAGCUGUCAUGCGAAUCCUCCUGUUCGGACGUACACCGGUCCAUUUGUCUAGUCGAUUCAGCUGUCUACGCCUUUAUCCAAUAUCGAACACUCGUUGUCGGUAAUCCUUCCAAUCGAAGAUCGCCACCUAAUCCAUCAUGGCGGACGAAGCAGGAAUCACGAAAAAAAAUUGUUUGGAGAAAAGAGCAACGAUGUUGGAAAAGUUCGAAGAAGAAGAUGUUUGGUCCAGCAGCAACAUUUUUUCCCUCUGAUCUUCCACACCACUGGGACAAUGUUACAAGCGUGGAUUGCAACUUAUAAGGAAAGCUCGAAGAAAGUCGAAGGCUUACACGAAGCUUCGCGCGAAAUCAAGAUCUUGGUUUUAAGGUGGGGACACCGAGGUAAUGGCGUGUGCAUUAUUCUGAUAAAUCGCCUCGACUGGCGUCAAACCUGACUCUGGCCUGACGGCAACCUUGGUCAAUCGUAUCUACUUCUACGCAAGUAGAAUCGAUCCUGUGCGGGAUAUUUCAAAGGAGACUUCUAAGGAAAAAUACCACUACGUACAUGUGCUACGAAUUGCAUCGGUUGUAUCAGAACUCUUUCUAUCAGUUUAGGAGAUGCUUUAUAAUUUGUCUUGAAAUUAAAAAAUUAAAGACUGUGAAGAUAAAGAAUUUAUCAAGUAAAAAAUUCUAUAACAUAAUUGGAUAAUUAUGGUGAUAAUUUGUAAUGUAUAAUGCGAUAUAUUUUUUAAUAUAAUAUAUAAAAUAAAUUACACUUUGAUACCGUCAUAAUUUUAUGAUUAAAAAUUCUAUGAUUUGUAAAAAAUUCUAUAACAUAAUGGGAUAAUUAUGGUGAUAAUUUGUAAUGUACAAUGCGAUAUAUUUUUUAGCAUAAUAUAUAAAAUCAAUUACAGUUUGACACGCUCAUAAUUGUAUGAUUUGUAAUAAAUUCUACAACAUAAUUGGAUAAUUAUGGUGAUAAUUUGUAAUGUAUAAUGCGAUAUAUUUUUUAGUAUAAUAUAUAAAAUCAAUUACAGUUUGACACGCUCAUAAUUGUAUGAUUUGUAAUAAAUUCUACAACAUAAUUGGAUAAUUAUGGUGAUAAUUUGUAAUGUAUAAUGCGAUAUAUUUUUUAAUACAAUAUAUAAAAUCAAUUACAAUUUGACACGC
rnacentral:misc_RNA from 1 species